GCCAGCAUUAAGAAAAUAGCUGUACGAACCCAAUCCCGUCUGAUCUUGGAAGCUAAGCAGGGUCGAGUCUGGUUAGUACUUGGAUGGGAGACCACCUAGGAAGAACAGGUGCAGUAGGUG
rnacentral:rRNA from 1 species